GUCAGUAGUCGGUUAGUGUCGGUUCAGCAGAUGAUGCUUGGCGUACUUAAGAUUGCAAAUUCAAAGUGCGCAGGGUGUCACCAGUUUCGGAAACUGAUUAAAAAGAGUACAGCAAUGAUACAGAACUACAAAACUGAUGAAGCUGUGUGUGUUGGUGGCGACCCAUAUUCACCGAAUUCGUCACAGUUACAUCACAACCUUCCAUCUGGUGUGGUCUUACGGUCUUCAAGUACCACGUGAAGAAAGAGGAUGAUGAACUCGAUUCCAUCUACGUCUACUGAAUUGUUGAAAAGGGCACUGGAGCAAAGGUCAAACACAUCAUGCCGGAUACCUGUAAUUGGGCAAUGAAUCGAGCUUCUGGAGUGGAGAUGAUCUGAGAAGUGCAGCCAACGCUGUAAUGGCUAUAAGGAUUUCAAUGGUGAUAAAUGUUUAGGAAGUUCGGAAGUUCUUUCUGAAAUCCUGCUUCUGCAGCUGCUUCUGUCAGCAGGAAAUAUUGACUUAUU